GUGUGUGUGUGUGUGUGGGUGUGCAUGCUCUCCAGUUUAUUUAGUUUACCCUAGCUUUAUUAGAUUUGGAUAUUAGUAUGGAUAGUAUAUUAGAGGUGGGGUGAGGAUAGUAUUUUUUUUUCUUAAGAUUUUAUUUAUUUGACAGAGAGCACAAGCAGAGUGGGAGGCUUCACAGAGAGAGGGAGAAGCAGGCUCUCCACUGAGCAGGGAGCCUGACAUGGGGCUCUAUCCCAGAACCCUCGUAUCAUGACCUGAGCUGUAGGCAGAUGCUUAACCAACUGAGCCACACAGGUGCCUCAGGGGUGAGGGUAGUAUUGAAGGCAAAGAAAACAGGCUGUUGUAGUUACCUAAGUAAGAGGGAAUAAAGGCCUUUCAUAUGACAGGAAAUGGAGGAAAUCUAAUAAGAGAGAUAGUAAGAUGAUAGAAUUGAUGGAAUUUGGUGACAUUUUUGUGUUGGGGUGGAUGCUGUGUGUGGUAAGAAAGGAGAAUGAGUUUCUAGUCUUGUAUGGUUGGAUGAAUGGUAGUACUAAUUCCUGUUUAUUUCAUAGUCCCUGCAAUGUGAGAGUAAGAGCAUUGAAAAUGUCCAAUUAUCUAUUUUAAGAAAAAAAUCAGUGACAGGCAGUAUCUAGGGAGAGGUGAAAGUGAGAAAUAAUUUCUUUUGAAGAGCUUUUAGACAAACUUGCCAUUUUGAUCUACUCCCCUUCCUUUUACUCUUAAUUCUUAUUUAUUUAUUUAAGAUUUUAUUUAUCUGUUUAUCAGAGAGAGCACACAAGCAAGGAGAGGGGCAGAGGCAAAGGGGAAAGCAGGCUCCUCACUGAGCAAGGAGCCCACUGCAGGACUCAGUCCCAGGACUCUGGGAUUAUGACCUGAGCCAAAGGCAGACACUUAAUGGACUGAGCCACCCAGGCGUCCCCUCUUAAUUCUAAUUUAACUAGUAAUUUCCAAGCCUGAAUUUUAGCAUUUAUGGGGUAACAUAAAUCCCUGUGCUAUCUUUAGGAUCUUGUUUUUUGUCAUUCACUUUUAUCAAAGACCCUAAACUCCUUUUUAUUGUAGACCCUAAAGAAGUUCAUUUUGACAAUAUUGUGAUAUAAUCAGGUAGGAAGAUACAAGUUUUUAAAAGUUAUCACUUUUUAGAAGGGGGCAUUAGGGAGUAUUAGCAGAUUUUAUGCUUUUUUUGGAGAUAGCAUCAGUGUUGGGCUGAAUCUUUCCUUUAUUGAAACAAAUAAUCAAAAAUACCUUGAAGAUUGCUUGGUGGGCUGAGUUUCUCUUUUAGUAGAAUGUUCUGGCUUUUUGAAAAUAAAUCUCUAGCCUUUUAAAAAUAGCUUUAUUGAGAUAUUAUUUCAUACUGUAAAAUUCACUCAUUUAAGGUAUAUAAUUCAGUGUUUCUUUUAUGUUUAUGGACUAUGUGACCAUUACCAUAAUCUAAUCUUACUUUAGAACAUUUUUAACAUCCCAAAAAGAAACCUGUAAUAAUCAUUCCCCUACUCCUCCCACUCCAUGCCACCCUCAUCACCUCUAGGCAACUACUAAUCUGUUUUCUGUCUCUAUAGAUUUGCCUGUUCUGGACAUUUCAUAUAAAUGGGAUCAUAUAAUACUUACAUACCUCUUGACUUUUAAAGUGUUUCCCUUCCCAAAUUUAUUCUUUUUGUGUCUCAUAUUUUUAAAGGUCAUUUGAAAGUAUAUAGUAUUUAUAGCUCUAUCUUGCCUGAUAAAUUUGCUUGAGUCUUCAUAUUUGUGUCCCGUGGUUUAAUAUAAUACUUUGUACACAAUAUAUAUAAAAUAAAUAAUUUGUAGUAUUUCAUGGUUUUUUAUGGACAUUAAAAGAUAUGCUUUCUUGAUAUUGUCCCAGUGUCUGAAUUUCAUUUACUGUUUCUUAUUUCCAUUUUCCCCCCAUUUACUUUUUUUUUUUUUUUUUUACUUUUUAGCUGAAUAGUGUUUAUACUUACACUACUAAUGGAAAGUUUUUUAUACCCGCAGAUUUAUGUAGUUACAUAGUACUUGGUAGGAGAGAGGACAGAAGUUUACUGAAAAUAAAAUGAAGCCCUUUAGGAAAUUGUUAGGUUUAUCAUUUUUUAAAAAUCCUUUUUAUAUUUAAGUAAUCUCUGUAUCCAACAUGGCUCUCAAACUCAACCCUGAGAUCAAGAGUUGCAUGCUGUACCAACUGAACCAGUCAAGUGUCCUGAAACUGAUAGGUUUAUCUUAAAUACUUCAUUUCUCAGUUCCUUUAUAGCUUUCCUCAUUGUAUAAUCUGGGUCACCCUGAUGGAAGGAUUCUGCCUAAUGUAACAUCAGUUGUGUUUAGAACUGCCUUGGUAUACCUGCUUGAUUGGUGUCCUCUCCCUGGUGUUCUUCCUCCCCAUUGCACAAAGAAAUUCAGAAAGGAUGUUAGAGUAUGUACAUUCCUGUAGUUAGCAUUUAUUUGUUUAUUUAUAAAGAUUUUAUUUAUUUAUUUGACAGAGAGAGACAUGGUGAGAGAGGGAACACAAGCAGGGGAAGUGGGAGAGGGAGAAGCAGGCUUCCCGCUGAGCCGGGAGCCCAAUGUGGGGCUCCAUCUCAGGACUCUGGGAUCAUGACCUGAGUGAAGGCAGAUGCUUCAGGACUGAGCCACCCAGGUGCCCCUGUAGUUAGAAUUUAAUUAGUGCAAAUAACCUUGGAUCUAUGAGUGCUAUCUCCUAUGUGUGAUAAAAGGCAGAAGAUUUUUCUUCUCUUUUUUUUUUCUUCCUCUUUUUGAGUUUUGCUGCCUAUGGCUUUUUUGGAAUUUUUUUUCUGUCAUAUGUUUAUAUUUGACAAAAGGUGAAAAGCGCACUUGGGAUUUCUAUAAAUUGCCGGAUGAAAUAUAACAAACAUUAUUUUAAAUUCCAUAACUGAGCUUGUAAAAAAAAAAAAAAGUAAGGAAAAUCCUCAAGGGCAAAAAUAUGGGGGGAAUUAAAAAUUACAGUGGUGAGUACAAAGUUAAAACUACAGCUGGCCCUGGGUAAUGAAGAGGCUUCAGUCAUCACAGCCAACAGCCGUACAGGAAAGGGAGACUUUCCUGCUUCCCUCCAUAAAGCUAGGUUCCUCAAAAGGUAGUCGCACCAUUGAAAAGAUGAUCUAGAAAAACAUUUGUCUAGUGAUGUGAUGUCACAUACUGUAUGAGUUCUAAGUGAAAGAGUUUUUUCUGAGAAUUUGUUACCAUGGGCUUAUUCUCCUGUAAUUUUGGUUUAGAAUGUCCCUCUUUCUCUGCAGUUUAGGAAACCCAAAGCGGAGAAAUUAAUUUAUAAAGUAGUCCUGAAUCAGUGAUAGUCAUAUGGCAUCAGGCUGAAAAAAAUACAAAACCUCUUUAUGGGAAUAUCUUCAAUAUAGGCCAUACGGGAUUUCCACAACCAAAAGUGCUCUGAAGUUUUUUUUGUUUUUUUUUUUUAAAUAUAGAACUUUAAAAAAUAUAAUCAUUGAAAUUUAAAACUCAGAGGACAACAUCAAUGAUAAGAAUGGAUAAAUUGUGGCAUAUUCAUGCAGUAGAAUACUAUAAAGUAAUGGAAAUGAAUAAACUGUUGCUGUGCACAAGAUCAUGGCCUAAUAAAGUCUGGGAACCCAGCUGCUCUGCUGUGAGAAGCCCAAGCCAGAUGGAGAGGCCAGCUGAGCUCUCAGCCAGCAACUAGCAUCAACUGCCAGCCAUGUGAGUGAGUGAAGAAGUCAUCUUGGACAUUCCAAUCCCAGCAGACAUCAUAUGGAGAAAAACUCAGGCCCCAGGCAUGGAACCAGGCUAGCCAUCUUCAGUCAUUAGAGCCACUCUGCCUGAAGCCCUAGAUGUCAUGGAGCAGAUACAAACUAUCUCCUAUGCCUGUCUGAAUUCUUGGCCCUCAAAAUUAUGAACAUAAUAAGAUGAUUGUUGUUUUAUGACA